UGAACUGAUAGGACCAGAAGGUACUGGGA
rnacentral:piRNA from 1 species